rnacentral:rRNA from 1 species
UACAGAGACUGCAAGCGUUAUUCGGAUUCACUGGGCGUAAAGGGUGCGCAGGCGGCCAAGUGUGUUAGGCGUGAAAGCCCGGGGCUUAACCCCGGAAUUGCACCUAAAACUACAUGGCUAGAGCAUUGGAGAGGGUAGCGGAAUUCACGGUGUAGCAGUGAAAUGCGUAGAUAUCGUGAGGAACACCAGAGGCGAAGGCGGCUACCUGGACAAUUGCUGACGCUCAGGCACGAGAGCGUGGGGAGCAAAAGGG